CAGCAGUCGCCGCGGUAAUGCGUAGGGUGCGAGCGUUGUCCGGAAUUACUGGGCGUAAAGAGCUCGUAGGUGGUCUGUCGCGUCAUUUGUGAAAGCCCGGGGCUUAACUCCGGGUUGGCAGGUGGUACGGGCAUGACUGGAGUACUGUAGGGGAGACUGGAAUUCCUGGUGUAGCGGUGAAAUGCGCAGAUAUCAGGAGGAACACCGGUGGCGAAGGCGGGUCUCUGGGCAGUAACUGACGCCGAGGAGCGAAAGCAUGGGUAGCGAACAGGAUUAGAUACCCCCGUAGUCCCUGUCUCUUAUA
rnacentral:rRNA from 1 species